rnacentral:misc_RNA from 1 species
GGAAGGAUCAUUAACACAUUGUCCAUUUGAUGGUUGUGAAAGUGAUAGUUUAGGCUAUCAUUAUCCAAUCAUUCAAACCCCUAGCAAACUAGUUGAAGUCUUCAAUUAUAGUUUUUUUUAAACUAUUUAUUGGAAUUCAAGUGUUAUCACGAUCAAUAUAUGAGCUCUAGUAGCUUUAUAUAUUCGACUGAUGUUUAACAAAACAAAAUAACUAUAACCAAGACAACUUAUAACAGUGGAUACCUUGGUUCCCAGGUCGAUGAAGAGCGCAGCGAACUGCGAUAAGUCAUGUGAAUUGCAGGAUUCCGUGAAUCAUCGAACUCUUGAACGCAAAUUGCACUUGGGUGUUGAACCCAAGUGUGUCUGCUCGAGUGUCGGCAAUAAACUCUCACUACUGUAAAGUGAUCUUGAGAGCUCACGUCUAUCUUGAACUCUUUAAAUGAAUGGUGGAUGAUUCUAUUACAUUAAUAUUAUUGUAAUGAAUUUGACCUAACCAAAUGAAUUAAGUAGUUUUACUACCCUAAAUCGUUUGUUGUUAACAAUUUCAAUACUGUAUAUUAAUUUGAAUCAUUAACCUUAUUGUUCCUUCUAACGAUAGAACAAUAAAUUUCAAACUCUCGACCUCGAAUUAGACAAGAUCACCCGGUGGACUUAAGCAUAUUAUUAACCGGAGGAAAAGAAACUAACAAGGAUGCCCUCAGUAACGGCGAGUGAAGCGGGCAGAGCUCAAAUUUAAAAUCUGGAGUCCUUAUGGGCUUCCGAAUUGUAGUUUUUGGAUCGUCAGUCACGGGAUUGCUAGCGCGGGAGUAAGUUCUUUGGAACAAGGCAUCAUAGAGGGUGAGAAUCCCGUAUGCGUCCCCGCUAGUAGUUCAAUAGGUGUCUGGCUUUUCACGAGUCGGGUUGUUUGGGAUUGCAGCCCUAAAUAGGUGGUAGAUCUCAUCUAAAGCUAAAUAUUCCUGGGAGACCGAUAGCGAAGAAGUAGUGUGAACGAAAGGUGAAAAGAACUUUGAAAAGAAGGUGAAAAGUACUUGAAGCUGUUCUAAGGGAACCGCAUGGAAGCAGUGACAGCAUGUAGGCAAUUCAGCGUGCCGUUUCUGAGUGGUGUCGGAUACACGGAGGUGUACGCCCCGGAGUACUGAGCCACGAGGGGAGAGCGCGUGUACUUUGCUUGCGUGCGAGUCAGCAUCAGUUUGGUUGGCAGCGGAGAAGGGCGGGAGGAAGGUAGGUUAGGCUCUCGGGUCUAUCUGUUAUAGCCUCCUGUUACAUACGCUGUCCUGGACUGAGGAAACAAAACGCAUGCCUCGGCGAGGUAGUGGGCUGACCCGCGCUGCCGGUUGUGUACGUCUGCUUGCAGGGUGCGCGACUUGGCGGUGUGGCUUAGGUUCACCCAUCUGUGCGUUAGGGAUGCUGACGAAAUGCUUUCAUUCGACCCGUCUUGAAACACGGACCAAGGAGUCUAACAUGUAUGCGAGUAUUUGGGUGGCAAACCCUGAUGCGCAACGAAAGUGAGAGGAUGUGAGACUUGUAGUAACGUGCAGGUUGCAACAUCGACCAACUGCAUCUAGGUGCGGAUUGCGUCAGAGCACACAUGAUGGGACCCGAAAGAUGGUGAACUUUGCGUGCGCAGGGUGAAGCCAGAGGAAACUCUGGUGGAGGCUCGUAGAGAUACUGACGUGCAAAUCGUUCUUCAGACGUGCGUAAAGGGGCGAAAGACUAAUCGAACCAUCUAGUAGCUGGUUUACAC